GACGAACGCUGGCGGCGUGCUUAACACAUGCAAGUCGAACGGUAAGGCCCUUCGGGGUACACGAGUGGCGAACGGGUGAGUAACACGUGGGUGAUCUGCCCUGCACUUCGGGAUAAGCCUGGGAAACUGGGUCUAAUACCGGAUAGGACCACUGCCUGCAUGGGUGGGGGUGGAAAGCUUUUGCGGGGUGGGAUGGGCCCGCGGCCCAUCAGCUUGUUGGGGGGGUGAUGGCCUACCAAGGCGACGACGGGUAGCCGGCCUGAGAGGGUGACCGGCCACACUGGGACUGAGAUACGGCCCAGACUCCUACGGGAGGCAGCAGUGGGGAAUAUUGCACAAUGGGCGCAAGCCUGAUGCAGCGACGCCGCGUGAGGGAUGACGGCCUUCGGGUUGUAAACCUCUUUCAGCACCGACGAAGCGCAAGUGACGGUAGGUGCAGAAGAAGGACCGGCCAACUACGUGCCAGCCGCCGCCGUAA
rnacentral:rRNA from 1 species